rnacentral:lncRNA from 1 species
CAUAUAAGAACUGAAGUGGCAUUUUACUAAUGUGUCCCAUUAUUAAACUGAUUUUUAAUAUUGUACUUCCAUUAAAAAUAGAGAACCAAUUAGGUGUAAUAUACGUUCUUACUCCAGGGUUUGUUUAGGUAAUUAUGUGCAUGCGUAUAGUUUCCUUGACUUCAAGGGGUACUAGGUUAAAUGUUUGCUCUGGAUUCCCCACUCAAUUGAUAAAUUUUAAACUCAAGGGAUCCUUUCUAUAUAUGUCUGCUAUUGAGAGUUAUUGUUGUUGCAUAAUUUUAAAUCAUAUGCAUCGUUUAAAUUAAAAUAAUUGUAGUCCACAUCGUAAAAGUUUUCUUUCAACACACC